rnacentral:rRNA from 1 species
AACGAACGCUGGCGGCAUGCCUAACACAUGCAAGUCGAACGAGACCUUCGGGUCUAGUGGCGCACGGGUGCGUAACGCGUGGGAACCUGCCCUUAGGUUAGGAAUAACUCCCCGAAAGGGGUGCUAAUACCGGAUAAUGUCUUCGGACCAAAGAUUUAUCGCCUUUGGAUGGGCCCGCGUUGGAUUAGCUAGUUGGUAGGGUAAAAGCCUACCAAGGCGACGAUCCAUAGCUGGUCUGAGAGGAUGAUCAGCCACACUGGGACUGAGACACGGCCCAGACUCCUACGGGAGGCAGCAGUGGGGAAUAUUGUACAAUGGGCGAAAGCCUGAUCCAGCAAUGCCGCGGGAGUGAUGAAGGCCUUAGGGUUGUAAAGCUCUUUUACCCGGGAUGAUAAUGACAGUACCGGGAGAAUAAGCUCCGGCUAACUCCGUG